GACGAACGCUGGCGGCGUGCUUAACACAUGCAAGUCGAACGGUAAGGCCCCAGCUUGCUGGGGUGCACGAGUGGCGAACGGGUGAGUAACACGGGGGUGAUCUGCCCCGCACUUCGGGAUAAGCCUGGGAAACUGGGUCUAAUACCGGAUACGACCGCACCGAGAGGGCGAGGUCGACAGAUUUUCGGUGUGGGAUGGGCCCGCGGCCUAUAAGCUUGUUGGUGGGGUAAUGGCCUACCAAGGCGGCGACGGGUAGCCGGCCUGAGAGGGUGGACGGCCACAUUGGGACGGAGACGCGGCCCAGACUCCUACGGGAGGCAGCAGUGGGGAAGAGUGCACAAUGGGCGGAGGCCUGAUGCAGCGACGCCGCGUGGGGGAUGACGACCUUCGGGUUGUUAACUCCUUUCACCAUCGACGAAGGUUUUCUGACGGUAGAUGGAGAAGAAGCCCCGGCUAACUACGUG
rnacentral:rRNA from 1 species